CUGGCUCAGGAUGAACGCGUAGCGACAGGCUUAACACAUGCAAGUCGAGGGGCAGCACGGGAGUAGCAAUACGUUGGUGGCGACCGGCGCACGGGUGAGUAACGCGUAUGCAACCUACCUAUCAGAGGGGAAUAACCCGGCGAAAGUCGGACUAAUACCGCAUAAAACAGGGGCACCGCAUGGUGAUAUUUGUUAAAGAAAUUCGCUGAUAGAUGGGCAUGCGUUCCAUUAGGUAGUUGGUGAGGUAACGGCUCACCAAGCCGACGAUGGAUAGGGGAACUGAGAGGUUGGUCCCCCACACUGGUACUGAGACACGGACCAGACUCCUACGGGAGGCAGCAGUGAGGAAUAUUGGUCAAUGGGCGGGAGCCUGAACCAGCCAAGUCGCGUGAAGGAAGAAGGAUCUAUGGUUCGUAAACUUCUUUGCAGGGGAAUAAAGUGCAGGACGUGUCCUGUUUUGUAUGUACCCUGAGAAUAAGGAUCGGCUAACUCCGUGCCAGCCGCCGC
rnacentral:rRNA from 1 species